UACGUAGGGGGCAAGCGUUGUCCGGAAUCAUUGGGCGUAAAGAGCGUGUAGGCGGUCCGGUCAGUCGGUUGUGAAAGUCAAGGGCUCAACCCUUGAAUGCCGGCCGAUACUGCCGGGCUAGAGUCCGGAAGAGGUGAGUGGAAUUCCUGGUGUAGCGGUGAAAUGCGCAGAUAUCAGGAGGAACACCGAUGGCGAAGGCAGCUCGCUGGGACGUUACUGACACUGAGGCGCGAAAGCGUGGGGAGCGAACAGG
rnacentral:rRNA from 1 species